rnacentral:rRNA from 1 species
GACGAACGCUGGCGGCGUGCUUAACACAUGCAAGUCGAACGGAAAGGCCCUGCUUUUGUGGGGUGCUCGAGUGGCGAACGGGUGAGUAACACGUGAGUAACCUGCCCUUGACUUUGGGAUAACUUCAGGAAACUGGGGCUAAUACCGGAUAGGAGCUCCUGCUGCAUGGUGGGGGUUGGAAAGUUUCGGCGGUUGGGGAUGGACUCGCGGCUUAUCAGCUUGUUGGUGGGGUAGUGGCUUACCAAGGCUUUGACGGGUAGCCGGCCUGAGAGGGUGACCGGCCACAUUGGGACUGGGAUACGGCCCAGACUCCUACGGGAGGCAGCAGUGGGGAAUAUUGCACAAUGGGCGGAAGCCUGAUGCAGCAACGCCGCGUGCGAGAUGACGGCCUUCGGGUUGUAAACCGCUUUCGCCUGUGACGAAGCGUGAGUGACGGUAAUGGGUAAAGAAGCACCGGCUAACUACGU